UUGACAGCCCUAGAGACUGAUGUCCUAAUUAUCCCCAGAACAGGUGCACAUGGGCAUUUUCCUGCCAAUGUGACUCUACCUAGAGCUGGAGAGCUCAAAUCUCAGAUUAGAUAAUAGUUUAGUGUAAAGCCUUCUCAAACUGCAGACAUU
rnacentral:sRNA from 1 species